CUAUUUACCUACUUUAUUUGCGUAAUUUGUAAACAUUUGCCAUUGGGCAUUAAGUGUCAUUAUUACCAAAUGUACUCUUUAUCUUCAUCUUUUGUCAAAACGGAAGACAAUAGAGCACAGUAGACUGCCCUUUAGAGUAAACACAGUGACCGCGUUGUUUACUAGUCAGGUCUGUGAGAGGAUGGAGCUCCCACGCUGGCGCUGGCGAUGAAAAUAUCCAUCCUGAGACACAACACUACCAAACCAGAGAGCCAAGAUCAUGAAGUCAACAAGGCUACGUUCGGUUAAACACCUGAUGAAAGCCACCCCACAGAAGCCCAUUAGGAGGAGCACAGCAGGUCUUAUUUACUCUUCCCGGGUGAUAAACGCAGGAGUCUGUCUGCAAACAUAAAGCGAGAUAGGAAGUGUGAUACAGGCUUACUCUCAACCUUCAGCUUCUUGUGUGGUGACAUUUUAUGGGAAAAUGGGAAAAUGGGGAGGCCCUCAGGUAGGCUGUAAAAAAAAAAAAAAAAAAAAAA